rnacentral:lncRNA from 1 species
GAAGUCCCUGGCGGCCUCCCAAACCCAACCCACUAAGCCAUCACCCCAAACCCUGCACCUGCCCUGCCUCCUCCGCUGAUCUGCCCCCACUCAGUCCCGGCCGUGCUGGGACGAGUGGGCUCAAGCUGCCCACAGGAAGGCCUAGCUGCCCACAGGGGCCCCUCUGCAGCAGCCCCCCUGCAGCCCUCCACGCACCUCCUCGGGGCCAUGGGUGCACCCCCCCCACCAGGAGACCGAGCAGGGGGAGAGAUCAGCCCCAGUGCUGUAUGAGCCCUUCUGGCUCCCUGCUCUGCUCAGGCUCCUUCGGCCAAAUCCAUGUGUUUGCUGGUACGCGGUGCCCACGGACUCAGAGACAUCGGCGAUUUGAAAUGGAGUCACUCAGCCCUUUGCAUCGACGAGGUGACAGAAGGGACAAAGGAAGUUCCCACACUUCACUUUGCAUAAUGUGGUGUCUUGUUUUUUCUGUGGGACGUGCAUACAGCUGCUCUGCCUCUUCGGGACCCACAUACCUGACUCAUGUACAUUUGUCUCCUGUUGCUUUUAUCCCGUUCUGUUUUAGCUGACUUGUUCGCAGUGCUAAAUACAAGUGUUACUUUACUCCUGUUUGAUAUCAUCUUUAAAGAGUCAAAUUUUCAUUCAUUCUUCUUGGUGGAAAACAUCAGCCCAAAGUGGAAGCUGAACCAUAAAACGUUUCCCUUUUCACACCAUGGGUUCUCUUGCUGCAGCUGUGGCAGAACAGCCUGAAAGAACAUAUGCCACGUGCCCUGGGGCUGCAGCUGGGCAGGGCGACACAGGUGUGGGCCCAGAUCAAAGCUUCCUGCCCUCAAAGCGUCCCAGUGUCUUUUGAACACCUCUGUUUGCGAUGAGCCGGUUACAGCUGAUUUCAACUACACCCCCGCCGAGGAACGCGAGGGACGCCGAAAUGGUCAGUGUUGGCCUGACGACUGCUCUCAGAGGGAGAACCCGGGAGCGACACAUCCUCACCACCCGGUCCCAUGGCCCAGAGCUUUUAUUCAUACACGAAGCCGAGCUGGUGUGAACAGCGGUGGCGAGCAGCCCUGGGGUCUCCUGAUCUCUCGGCUGGAGUUAGACCUUCCCCCCAACAACGGCACUGUGGCUCCCAGCUCUGGGCCACGCUUCUGCCUUCCCAGAGGCCGACUGCCUCCCGCAGCCACGAGCCAGACGUCCCUCACCCCCAGCCUUCUGCAGCCUGGGAAGAAGUCUUGAGGGUCAAACUGAGCAGUCACCGCUGUUGAUGCAUGCUGCCGAGUGGCAGCUGCAGUAGCAGACAAGGUAAGAUUCCCGUGAAAGUCCCCCGGGCUCCGCGGUCAGCAAUAACCUCACAAUGAGACAGACAAGGUGGCGGCUGGGCGCAGAGGCCACACACCUGGAAGGCCUCGUAGUCACCAAAGGGCCCCUGGAAGGGUAUCCACCUCCCCGGGCGGGGGUGCGUGGAGACCAGCCAGCCUGGAGCCCAUUUCACAGGUACGUCCCGUCCACCAGAGUCCAGGGGAAUCUACCUGGGCUUUAGCUCAGGACACGUCAAGGAACAGCUAUGGGAAA